rnacentral:rRNA from 1 species
CCUACGGGGGGCAGCAGCAGGGAAUUUUGCACAAUGGGCGAAAGCCUGAUGCAGCGACGCCGCGUGAGGGAUGAAGGCCUUCGGGUCGUAAACCUCUUUUCUCAGGGACGAGCAAGGACGGUACCUGAGGAAUAAGCAAUGGCUAACUACGUGCCAGCAGCCGCGGUAAUACGUAGGUUGCGAGCGUUGUCCGGAAUCACUGGGCGUAAAGGGUCCGCAGGUGGUCCGUUAAGUCUCUCGUGAAAUCUCCGGGCUUAACCCGGAAAUGUCGGGGGAUACUGGCGGACUAGAGGCCAUUAGAGGGAAGCAGAAUUCCCGGUGUAGUGGUGAAAUGCGUAGAUAUCGGGAGGAAUACCAGUGGCGAAGGCGGCUUCCUGGGGUGGUCCUGACACUCAUGGACGAAAGUGUGGGGAGCAAACCGGAUUAGAUACCCCAGUAGUC